rnacentral:tRNA from 376 species
CGGAGUGUAGCGCAGCCUGGUAGCGCACCUCGUUCGGGACGAGGGGGUCGCAGGUUCAAAUCCUGCCACUCCGACCA